AACGACAUUGAAAGUACGAAAUUAUUAUUGAGCCCUUUCCCCACCUUUACUUUCCUUGCGGUCAAUAGAGUUCCCCUUCUGUCAGUGUGAAAUAAUAUUAUACAAAACUAAAAACCAACCAACCAAGCAUUAUCUUACAUUGACAGUACAGCAAUAGAAUACGCAAGAAUUUUUCAAAGAGCAACCCAUGUCCGGAGAUGGAAAUUGAUGUUGAUUAGCCUGGUCGUCCAUAAAAGGAAGGAGACAUUUUUCUGCUGGUCCAUCAUUGAUAUGAAACAGCUAGGAAUCUACAAAUCAUAAUUUCGCGAGUACAUAUUAUUGCAUGAAGAUAUCUUCGCACAUUGUUAAUAAUGUUAGUUAAAUUUAAAACAAUUUGUAAUGCAAAUUAUUUAGAUAGGGAUAUUGAAACAAAAAAUGUUUAUAUUAACUAGGAAAUUACAAAAAUAAGUUUAUAGUUGUAAGCAAAAUACAAUAGUUUAAGCUCAAGAGGAUUCAGCAUCAACUUCAUGGAAAAAGUCUUCUCAUCAAGGAUGAGGGAGACAUAUUUUUUUGGAGUCAUCGAAGAGAAGUCUACAACGAAACAAGAGUCGAAAGAAGACACCGUCACGUGAUUGAAAAAUGUUUUAAAAA